rnacentral:rRNA from 1 species
GACAGAGGUGCCGAGCGUUAGGCGGAAUCACUGGGCUUAAAGCGUGUGUAGGCGGGCGAUCAAGUACCUUGUGAAAUCCCACGGCUCAACCGUGGAACCGCUGGGUAUACUGGUUGUCUUGAGCCGGCUAGGGGCGAGCGGAACAGACGGUGGAGCGGUGAAAUGCGUAGAUAUCAGGAGGAACACCUGUGGCGAAAGCGGCUCACUGGACCAUAACUGACGCUGAUGCACGAAAGCUAGGGGAGCAAACAGG